GCCGGGAUAGCUCAGCUGGGAGAGCAACAGACUGAAGCUCUUCGUAUAGAAUUGCCUUCUGGAGGUCCCGUGUUCAAUCCACGGUCCUGGCA
rnacentral:tRNA from 1 species